AGAGGCUUUGUGCGGAUACGGGG
rnacentral:miRNA from 1 species